rnacentral:rRNA from 1 species
AACGAACGCUGGCGGCAGGCUUAACACAUGCAAGUCGAGCGAGACCUUCGGGUCUAGCGGCGGACGGGUGAGUAACGCGUGGGAACGUGCCCUUCUCUACGGAAUAGCCCCGGGAAACUGGGAGUAAUACCGUAUACGCCCUUUGGGGGAAAGAUUUAUCGGAGAAGGAUCGGCCCGCGUUGGAUUAGGUAGUUGGUUGGGUAAUGGCCCACCAAGCCGACGAUCCAUAGCUGGUUUGAGAGGAUGAUCAGCCACACUGGGACUGAGACACGGCCCAGACUCCUACGGGAGGCAGCAGUGGGGAAUCUUAGACAAUGGGGGCAACCCUGAUCUAGCCAUGACGCGUGAGUGAUGAAGGCCUUAGGGUUGUAAAGCUCUUUCAGCUGGGAAGAUAAUGACGGUACCAGCAGAAGAAGCCCCGGCUAACUCCGUG